rnacentral:rRNA from 1 species
UACAGAGGUCUCAAGCGUUGUUCGGAAUCACUGGGCUUAAAGGGCGCGUAGGCGGCUCAUCAAGUCCGGGGUGAAAGCCCCCAGCUUAACUGGGGAAGUGCCUCGGAUACUGGUGAACUGGAGGGAGGUAGGGGCGGAUGGAACUUCCGGUGGAGCGGUGAAAUGCGUUGAUAUCGGAAGGAACGCCGGUGGCGAAAGCGAUCCGCUGGACCUCUACUGACGCUGAGGCGCGAAAGCCAGGGGAGCAAACGGG